GCGACGCGUGUUGCCGAGCGUGCCCUCGGCUCUCCUUGGAGAAUCGCGGAAUCGACCGAAUGCGAGAUACAGCCACUCCGCUUAUGUUUAUUAUUCUCCAGCGGCGCCUGUAAUUUGGUGGGCUCGGCUUCUACACGUACCGCGCUCGCAAAUGAUAUCACGGCGCUAAAUUCCCCCCAAACAAACAGUGUAAACAAGCUGGACCGCGGAGGCCAUCGCUGGGUAAACCGUUCCAGUUUACGAUCAAGAUACAGCUGGUGUGAAAGAGACAGAGGGGUGAAGACCAAGUAUUUGCGGCAAGAUUGCAAGGUUUUUCUCAGACCCGUC